AAGUGAACAGUUAGUUGUCUCAGUGGGGUCAAGGCCCUGCCCUACUUUGUAAUUGUGGAGCACAUGAAGGAGGGCAUCCCCUGUUCAUCCAAGGCUGGACCGUAACGGGUCAUUGUAUAGCUUGUAGUGCUACUAAUACAAUAAGAGUCCAAGCAUAGAACCAUUAAAAAUAACAAGUACCCAAAAGCAAAACACGUACAUGCUCCCAAGCCACAAAUACAAAUGAUCAAUGCUAUCCAACUGCUACCAGUUUGCUUCUUUGCUUAGGUUAUUUCCAUCCUCACACUAGCUAGUUACCCUAUAUAUAUGUACAUCC
rnacentral:lncRNA from 1 species